rnacentral:rRNA from 1 species
GUGGGGAAUCUUGCGCAAUGGGCGAAAGCCUGACGCAGCCAUGCCGCGUGGAUGAUGAAGGUCUUAGGAUUGUAAAAUCCUUUCACCGGUGAAGAUAAUGACUGUAGCCGGAGAAGAAGCCCCGGCUAACUUCGUGCCAGCAGCCACGGUAAUACGAAGGGGGCUAGCGUUGCUCGGAUUUACUGGGCGUAAAGGGCGCGUAGGCGGACAUUUAAGUCAGGGGUGAAAUCCCGGGGCUCAACCUCGGAACUGCCUUUGAUACUGGGUGUCUUGAGUAUGAGAGAGGUGUGUGGAACUCCGAGUGUAGAGGUGAAAUUCGUAGAUAUUCGGAAGAACACCAGUGGCGAAGGCGACACACUGGCUCAUUACUGACGCUGAGGCGCGAAAGCGUGGGGAGCAAACAGGAUUAGAUACCCGGGUAGUCC